rnacentral:rRNA from 1 species
GCUUGUCUCAAAGAUUAAGCCAUGCAUGUCUAAGUAUAAAUAGUAUACAGUGAAACUGCGAAUGGCUCAUUAAAACAGUUAUAGUUUAUUUGAUAAUUGAAUGCUACAUGGAUAACCGUGGUAAUUCUAGAGCUAAUACAUGCUGUUAAACCUGACUUACGAAGGGUUGUAUUUAUUAGAUAUUAAACCAAUAGCCCAAAAGGCUGUUGUGAUGAUUCAUAAUAACUGAUCGAAGCGAGGCCAGCCUCGCUAAAUCAUUCAAGUUUCUGCCCUAUCAGCUUUCGAUGGUAGUGUAUUGGACUACCAUGGCAAUCACGGGUAACGGGGAAUUAGGGUUCGAUUCCGGAGAGGGAGCCUGAGAAACGGCUACCACUUCUAAGGAAGGCAGCAGG